ACGGUAACAGAAAGCAGCUUGCUGCUUUGCUGACGAGUGGCGGACGGGUGAGUAAUGUCUGGGAAACUGCCUGAUGGAGGGGGAUAACUACUGGAAACGGUAGCUAAUACCGCAUAACGUCGCAAGACCAAAGAGGGGGACCUUCGGGCCUCUUGCCAUCGGAUGUGCCCAGAUGGGAUUAGCUUGUUGGUGGGGUAACGGCUCACCAAGGCGACGAUCCCUAGCUGGUCUGAGAGGAUGACCAGCCACACUGGAACUGAGACACGGUCCAGACUCCUACGGGAGGCAGCAGUGGGGAAUAUUGCACAAUGGGCGCAAGCCUGAUGCAGCCAUGCCGCGUGUAUGAAGAAGGCCUUCGGGUUGUAAAGUACUUUCAGCGGGGAGGAAGGGAGUAAAGUUAAUACCUUUGCUCAUUGACGUUACCCGCAGAAGAAGCACCGGCUAACUCCGUGCCAGCAGCCGCGGUAAUACGGAGGGUGCAAGCGUUAAUCGGAAUUACUGGGCGUAAAGCGCACGCAGGCGGUUUGUUAAGUCAGAUGUGAAAUCCCCGGGCUCAACCUGGGAACUGCAUCUGAUACUGGCAAGCUUGAGUCUCGUAGAGGGGGGUAGAAUUCCAGGUGUAGCGGUGAAAUGCGUAG
rnacentral:rRNA from 1 species